GUAAUCUUUGGGCAAUUCACUAUUUCUUCUCUAGACUUUUUUUUUAUUAUUAUCUCUGAAUCAGCAAUGUCUCUCGAAACUUACACCAUCUCAUGUCACGCAUCUGCCAUCUACCAACUUAUUAUCUAGCUAUAUCCGCCAUUCAUCUGGGAACAAAGUUACUAUUAUUCAUCCUCUCUAUGUCCCGCAAAUAUCUUUUUCGUUUCCCGUGUCUUUUUCUUUUGUCAUCAAUGCUCCGCGACAAGGGGGGGAUAGCUCUGUAAGGGACGGAGGAAAGAUAGUGUCUAACAGAACGGAAAAAGAAACGAGAGGCGGAGAAAAAGGGGGAAUUGAGGUGAUAAAGAUUAGCCGAGGAGAAGAGGAAGAGGAGAGGAGGAGAGAAGGGAAGAGGAAACCGGAUCAGAAGAGGUCCUCGGGAGAUCGGAGUCAGAGGAAGAAAGAGGAAAAUGAUGCUCGAAGGAGGAGAAAGAUUGGUCAGCUGUACACUUAAGGAAAAGAUAUAUGAAGAGCUCUCC
rnacentral:sRNA from 1 species